rnacentral:misc_RNA from 1 species
GAGUGGGGGAAGUGCGUGGAUAGGGUUGUGAUUCGGUGCAAAGGGUGGGUAGAGAAGACGAUAAGGAAGAAGGUUAAAAGGGGAAUCUGGUAGGUGUGUAAGGUGAGUAAUGCUGGAUUGGCUGCAUGGUUAAAUUCAAAAUUCCUUUUUUUUUUUUUUUCCUGAUGAAACAAAAGGAUGGCAGUAGUUGGGGUUAGAGG